CUUGGCGGCAGCCUUAACAUGCAGUCGAACGGUAACAGGAAUCAGCUUGCUGCUUCGCUGACGAGUGGCGGACGGGUGAGUAAUGUCUGGGAAACUGCCUGAUGGAGGGGGAUAACUACUGGAAACGGUAGCUAAUACCGCAUAACGUCGCAAGACCAAAGAGGGGGACCUUCGGGCCUCUUGCCAUCGGAUGUGCCCAGAUGGGAUUAGCUAGUAGGUGGGGUAACGGCUCACCUAGGCGACGAUCCCUAGCUGGUCUGAGAGGAUGACCAGCCACACUGGAACUGAGACACGGUCCAGACUCCUACGGGAGGCAGCAGUGGGGAAUAUUGCACAAUGGGCGCAAGCCUGAUGCAGCCAUGCCGCGUGUAUGAAGAAGGCCUUCGGGUUGUAAAGUACUUUCAGCGGGGAGGAAGGCGAUAAGGUUAAUAACCUUGUCGAUUGACGUUACCCGCAGAAGAAGCACCGGCUAACUCCGUGCCAGCAGCCGCGGUAAUACGGAGGGUGCAAGCGUUAAUCGGAAUUACUGGGCGUAAAGCGCACGCAGGCGGUCUGUCAAGUCGGAUGUGAAAUCCCCGGGCUCAACCUGGGAACUGCAUUCGAAACUGGCAGGCUAGAGUCUUGUAGAGGGGGGGUAGAAUUCCAGGUGUAGCGGUGAAAUGCGUAAAGAUCUGGGAGGAAUACCGGUGGCGAAGGCGGCCCCCUGGGACAAAGACUGACGCUCAGGUGCGAAAGCCGUGGGGAGCAAA
rnacentral:rRNA from 1 species